ensembl:lncRNA novel transcript
AGGAAGGAGUCCAGGGGUGUUUUAGCGUAAUCAUGCUGGCUCAUGCCGCUGAAGGAACAGCUGGGAUUGAGAACUCACUGCUGUGAGGAAACUUGCAAUUGUAUUCCCAUCCCACAGUCACCAGUGGACAGAGCUACCCAUGACAUUCUGGAUGAAAACCUCUGUACUAGAGAAUUAUUCCUUGAUAUCUAUUUAUGGAGAAUUGCUUGUGGGACACCUGUGGAUACCAAAAUUAGUGGAUGCUCAAGUCCAGUAGAAGAAAUGGAGUACUAUUUCCAUAUAAUCUAUGCAUACCAGCAGGUCUACCUCCCACCAAGCGAUCAGCCUCCGUUCUGCUGACUCCAACAGGGUGCACCCUUUCUCUAAUUAACUAAAAUGGCUAUGGAAAGCAAAGGAGGCCUUGUGUUGGGUGAACCAAUUAUUUUGAAGGGUAUUAAGUCAUCAGAUUUACUUUUAUCUUGAUUGCAUUGUGGAAAUCGUGCAUAAUUAAUGGUGGGAGCUUAUUAGGAAAAUGAUUAGGCAAAUUACACAGGUGUCGGAUGCAUUUUUUAUGAUAAAUUUGCUAGAACAAUCCUGCAAUUCCAUCUGUUCAGCUCACAUCAGAAUGUCACUCUGAAGAAAUUAAUGGUGCAGAGUUAUACAAAGUUACUACAAGCUUUGGUUGCAGAUUUAGGGGAUGGCUUUGCCAGGAAAAGCCCUUCAAUAGCAGCCUGGCCAAAGAUUCUGGGCAAAUAAGUUGGCUGGGUCCAUGGGCAAUCAAGAUUCUGGGACCUGCAAUCAAACUUGCUGCUGGCGUUUAAAUAACUAUCUUGGAAUUUUACUGAGUUUAUAAGCCUGCAAAUAAGUUAUACUGAUAUAACGAAAGUCAGGAGGGACAACAUCUGAGCAAGAUAAAUCUGAGGCUACCAGCGGGAUGUUACACUCGGUCUACUGACUCACAUGCAUCUUCUCCAAGAACACCCUCACAGACACACCUGGAGAAGCUCAAGCAUUCUAAUCAAAAUGAAAACCACCUGGAAUUCUCUUUCAGCAGAAGAGGAAUGGGUUCCAUUCCUAUUGAAGCAUUGAGAAUAAAUAACCCUUUACCAGCUACCUGAGUAUUCCUUAAUUCAGUCAAGUUUCAUCCAAAAUCAACUGUUGCAACUUAUUCUGAAAUGUUCAACUAGCUUUACAUUCUUUAGAUUAGGUCCUGCUUGUUCAUGAUAUAUUGUACUUUUGUAUAGAGCUAGAUUUUAUUUAAAAUACUGUGAAGUUUGUUUGAGGCUGAGGUGGGAGAAUCAAUGAGCCCAGGAGGUUGAGGGUGUAGUGAGCCGUGAUUGUGCCACUGUGCUAUCCCCUGGUAACAGAGUGAGACCCUGUCUCAAAUACAUAAAUAAACAAACAAACAAAUAAAUAAAUAAAUAAAUAAAAUUUCUACAUUGUAGCAAAAAAACAAAUAGAAAUUGAAAUCCAAAAUUGUAUAUACAAUUUAAAUUUGAAUUAAAAAGCACAAAGUGCUUACAAAUUUUAAUAAUUUUUGUGUAAGACUAGCACACUAAAAAUUAUGAAAUAAUACUGAAAGGGUGAUAUAAAUAAAUGCAGAGAUUUAUGGUGUUUAUGGAUUGAAAGACUCAAUAUCAUUAAGUUGUUCAUUCUCAAGUCAAUCUGUAGAUUCAAGGUAAGCUUAAUUAAAAUCUCAA